AUGGAGAUUAAAUUUUGCUGUCAUCAUUUUUCAAGGCAUAGGAUUUUAAAAACCAACUUGUCCACAAUUAUUUGCCAUGUUUUACAUUCCUUGUCUGAUUUAAGUGUAGCCAGUACUAGCAAAUGCUGUUUUCUUUUCCUGGAUUUGUCACCAUCAGGGAAAUCUUUUAUUUUUUCUGUCUAUUUUUGUUUGUUUGUUUGUUUGAAACAGAGGUCCAAAGAAAGUCUGUCAGAAGAGUUGGUGAAUAUGUUUCAGUGCACAAAUACCUCAAAGUAUUCAUGUGUACUCAUCAGACUGGCAUCAAUACCUGGCAGUGGCUUAUGGCACAUAUGGCAGUUCAUUUUACAGCUUCUGGAUUCCCACUGUGGGCAAACUGAAGGUUUCUUUUUUUAAAUCAGUGAAAGAGUAAAAACUGGCAUUUGAAACAAGCUAUUAUAAUGAACAAGGCAGAAAAUACAACUGUUCAAAUCUAACGGUAUAUUUAUCCUUACUUUUUUUCUUUUGUAAUUUCAUGGAAACAUAAAAUUUCAUAAUAAGUGACCAUACUGAUGUAGUUUCUUUCAUUGGAGGGUAGGUAAAGUUCAUAGAUAAUUUGCAAAGUACUUACUGACCUCUUGGGUUGCCUGUCAAAAGAGAGAAACUCUUUUAUUUCCUCUGCAAUUCUUUAGUAUUCAUUAUUCUACAUUAACUUCACAUGGGGAAAAAAAAAAAAAAAAAAAAAAAAGCAUACAGGGCAAUCCACAAAGAUACCACUAGGAGAUAUUUACUCUGCUAGCUUAAAUGGGCUGCCAGUUUUCCACCCCAUUACUUUAGUAAAUACCUGUACAAUAAUCUACUCCUACCCAGAGAAAAAUGGGAGGAACAUAGAGUGAGAGCUAACAGCAGUAGAUAACAGUGGAAACUUAUUUCAGUAGUUAUGACUCAGAAAUUUUAGUCAAGUAUGUGUCUUUUUUUUUUUUCUUUUUUUUUUUUUUUUCCAUAGAAAGUAGAGCAGCAAGCUUAAAAACAGUUUUGUGAUAUUUACUGCUAUUCGCCCUAGAGGUACUUUGCAAGAAUGAGUCAGACUGUACUUAUGCACUGAACAGAGUUAUUUCCUGAAGGUGCAUUGAUUGGCCCUACACCUGAAAGACUUUAUAAAGAAAAGCUUGUGCAGUGGACAUGAUUGAGAGGUAACAGUAAGAUGCAGAAAGAAAUAAUCUAACUUAUUAUCAGAAUGCUGAUUUAUCAGGGUACUGCAACAAAGUUGUAUGUCGAUAUUUUCAUAAAUCGAAGUUGCAAAGACAGAAACAAACACGAAAUGCAUUAUUUUAUGGUGCUACCUUUUUUUCCACAGGACUGAAUUUUACAAUAGUCAUAUGAAGUAUAAACCAAGCAGAAUGACACUUUCAGAAAUAAAUUCAGGUGAACCAAAUCCA
rnacentral:lncRNA from 1 species